rnacentral:rRNA from 1 species
GUAUAGUAUGGGAGUACUGCCUGAUGGGGGGGGAUAACUACUGGAAACGGUAGCUAAUACCGCAUAACGUCGCAAGACCAAAGAGGGGACCUUAGGGCCUCUUGCCAUCGGAUGUGCCCAGAUGGGAUUAGCUAGUAGGUGGGGUAACGGCUCACCUAGGCGACGAUCCCUAGCUGGUCUGAGAGGAUGACCAGCCACACUGGAACUGAGACACGGUCCAG